rnacentral:lncRNA from 1 species
GCUGCAGAAACAUUCUGAAGAAAAGACAACAUGUCAAGAAGAUACUAGGUUUGGAGAGCAUCCUGACCAACAAAAACAAGAAGGAAAAAUGUGGAGGAAACAGGUUCCUUGAAGUUCGCAUCUCUAGGCUGAAAUUAUUUGGCCAAAAUACAUGAAAAGCCCUUCUGUAAAGCAACUGAUGUCUUCAACUUACUAUGAAACGGAGAUGAAUAACUCAGCUUGAUGAAGGAACCCUCAUGUCCACUCAAUCCAAACACGACAACAAAUGCCUUACAAGCAGAAAUCCCCAUGGAACUAAUGGGAGCAGAGGCCUCCCACACACCCCAAGCGGGAAUAGACACAUUUCACUUCCAAACUCUGACUAACAGGAUCUCCUGUGGCUCUUUCUGCCACCUGAAAAUGUUCACUUUUCAUCACAAAUCCAUUGUAUCAAAGAAUCUUUGCUAAAGGCUUCUGACUCAACCAGGCUGGGUGAAUCCUGAUUCAUCUGCGUAGUUGCCGAUACAGAAAGGAACUCGAUGUGGCACAGAAAGAGGAUGAUUUGCUAAGAGUUUGCAAAUCAAAAGUAAGAUGUAUGGAAUUCCGCUUCUUUCAGGAAGACUUUUUGGAUUGGAUCAGAUGAAAUCCAAUGGCUUCCUCAACCCUAUGCUGACAAAUAAUAGAGCAUGGCAAAUUGGAGUCUUCAAUUAAGCACACGGAAUACAUGUGCUGAAUUGCUUUCUUUGCAAGGUUCAGAGUCAGAAUUCCUGCCCUGGGUUCUGAGUUGCUGAGUGGAGACGAUGAUGGAGAGCAGUGGAGACACGUGAUUUUCAGGGUGCUCUUUGCAUGCAUGAAAUGGAGCAAGACUUAUGAAGGGAAAAUGAAAGAGGAGGAUAGGAAGAUACGUCACCUCCUGGGUUUCCUCCAAUCAUCCAGUCCUCAUCUCUCUAUAUGUCUUUGAACACUCUGAGCGCCAUCAUGCCAAUUCCAUGGAUGAAACAAAUACCCAUGACUCAGCAUUUUUCUAAUGAAAACACGUGCGGUCUGACCCGAAGGAGAAACCACAAACAGAAUUGAGAAAAGCAGGCAGGCAAAUUUUGCUUUUCUUUUUCGUUAACCAACAGAAAAUGUAAGGACUGUUUCAUUAGGGAAUAAAAAAAAAAUGACUUACAGAAUUAACCAGAAGCAGCUCAUGAUAAAAUACAGUAUCACGCUAGAAAUACAUGUUUUACUUUUCAUGAAAGCUAACCACAUUGCCAUGAUGGGAACUCUCACACAUUGCUGGUGGGUAUGCAAAAUGAGACAGCCAGUCUGGAAAACAGUCUGCCAGUUUCCCGUGAUGUUACACUUACCACACACCCUAAUAAUCCCAAGUCUAGGUAUUUACCCUAGAGAAAUGAGGACUUAAUGUUCAACCCAAAAUCUGCACGUGAAAAUUUGUAGCGGCUUUAUUCCUUGUCACUAAAAACUGAGAACAACCAGAUGUCCUGCAAGUGACUGAAUAAACAAAGUAUAGUAAUUCAUAUACUACAAAGUAUAAUUCAUGGAGUACUAUGAAGCAAAAGCAGGAAUGACUAGAGUUAAUAACAAAGUAUUGUAUUGUUGAAAAUUGCUGAGCGAGUAGAUUUUAAAUGUUCUCACCACAAAGAACUGAAAAGUAUGUGAGGUAAUGAAUAUGUUAAGUAGCUUGAUUUAGCCAUUCCACAAUGUACAUAUAUCAAAACAUCGUGGUGUAUACCAUAAAUAUAUACAAAUGUUAUUUGUCUAUUAAAGAAGUUAAUUAAAGAAAAGGAUGGACUAUUGAUACACACAACCACUUGGAUACAUUGCAAAGGUACCAUGCUGAAUGAAAGAAAUUAGUUUCAAAAGCUAUGAUUUCAUUUAGAUGACAUCCUCAAGAAGACAAAACUGUAGUGACAAGGACAGAUUAGUGACUAGGAGAGACUGAGACAGGGCUGGGGUGUGUAAGUAACUACAAAAGGAGAACAUGGGAAAUUUUCGAGGCAAAAGGGUUGUCUUGGGUUCCUGCAGUUGUGACAGUUCCAGAAACCUGUAUUUGUGUUAAAAUCUACAGAACUGUACACAGUGAAGCCAAUUUUACUGUAUGUUAACUUUAAAAAUAUAAUACCACAAUAAAAUUAAACAUCACGCUGAAUGCUAAGAAUAGGAUAGACUUGCUUCAAUGGAUGGGGGAAAGACUUGCUUAACGGUAGGAGCCAUUUCAGGCAGAGACACUGAGGCUACUCUGUAACAAGGGAGAAAGGCAGCCUGAAAACUUGGUAAAUCUGUUUCCAAAAUAUUUGUCAUGUCCUUAAAAAUAAAAGCACACUGGAAAACACAAAAACGGAAUCAACCUCUCAGUAAAAGUCCUAUUGGCAUAUCGUUAAUC